GUAGGGAAUCUUCCGCAAUGGACGCAAGUCUGACGGAGCAACGCCGCGUGAGUGACGAAGGUUUUCGGAUCGUAAAACUCUGUUGUGAGGGAAGAACACGUACCAACUAACUAUUGGUACCUUGACGGUACCUCACCAGAAAGCCACGGCUAACUACGUGCCAGCAGCCGCGGUAAUACGUAGGUGGCUAGCGUUGUCCGGAAUUAUUGGGCGUAAAGCGCGCGCAGGCGGUUCCUUAAGUCUGAUGUGAAAGCCCACGGCUCAACCGUGGAGGGUCAUUGGAAACUGGGGAACUUGAGUGCAGAAGAGGAAAGUGGAAUUCCACGUGUAGCGGUGAAAUGCGUAGAGAUGUGGAGGAACACCAGUGGCGAAGGCGACUUUCUGGUCUGUAACUGACGCUGAGGCGCGAAAGCGUGGGGAGCAAACAGGAUUAGAAACCCGAGUAGUCC
rnacentral:rRNA from 1 species